CAGCAACAACAGUCAAUCUGACAACAACCCUAAGGUGAGGCAGAGUAACUGCAUUAGACUUUUAAAAAAACACUUGUGUCUUCUGCAUGGAAAGAUUCUAAUAAUUAUGAACAUGAGUAUACAUGUGGAGAAAGAGGGAUGUUUAGUGGAAUCCUCAGUAAAAGGAAAAACCUCUCUGCACAUAGUGAACUCUCAGCCAGCAAUCACAGUCUGUCUAACAACAACAACCUUAAGGUGGCAGAGUUACUGCAAUUAGACUUCGACAAAACCACCUGGGUCAGAAAAGAUUGUCAUCAUUAUGCACAUGACAUAAGUAUAUAUGUUUAUACUCAUUAAAAUGGUUAUUCAAAUUA